ACCGGACUGCGCUUCCGGUCCAUCGCCACCCCGCCCGCGUUCGAUCCCUGCGGGCACUCCGUCCCCCCGGCGAUGGGCUCCGUGACUGGGCGAGCAGACACGGCGCGCAGGCCGAUUUUCCGCCCCGGGCUUCGCGUCCGGGGCGUUUUUG
rnacentral:ncRNA from 9 species